rnacentral:rRNA from 1 species
AAUAAACGCUGGCGGCGUGCUUAACACAUGCAAGUCGAGCGAGAAAGGUCUUCGGACUGAGUACAGCGGCAGACGGGUGAGUAACGCGUAGGAAUCUGCCUUUUAGUGAGGAAUACUCCCGAGAAAUCGGGCUUAAUACUGCAUAAGUCUCGAAAGAGAGAAAGAUGGCCUCUUUGCUGUCGCUAAAAGAUGAGCCUGCGUACUAUUAGCUAGUUGGUAGGGUAAAGGCCUACCAAGGCGAUGAUGGUUAGCCGACCUGAGAGGGUGUACGGCCACACUGGAACUGAGACACGGUCCAGACUCCUACGGGUGGCUG